rnacentral:rRNA from 1 species
GUGGGGAAUCUUGCGCAAUGGGCGAAAGCCUGACGCAGCCAUGCCGCGUGAAUGAUGAAGGUCUUAGGAUUGUAAAAUUCUUUCACCGGGGACGAUAAUGACGGUACCCGGAGAAGAAGCUCCGGCUAACUUCGUGCCAGCAGCCGCGGUAAUACGAAGGGGGCUAGCGUUGCUCGGACUUACUGGGCGUAAAGGGCGCGUAGGCGGACAGCUUAGUCAGAGGUGAAAGCCCAGGGCUCAACCUUGGAAUUGCCUUUGAUACUGGCUGUCUUGAGUUUGGGAGAGGUGAGUGGAACUCCGAGUGUAGAGGUGAAAUUCGUAGAUAUUCGGAAGAACACCAGUGGCGAAGGCGACUCACUGGCCCAAUACUGACGCUGAGGCGCGAAAGCGUGGGGAGCAAACAGGAUUAGAUACCCCGGUAGUCC